UACGGAGGGGGCAAGUGUUACUCAUAGUGACUGGGCGUAAAGGGUGCGUAGACGGCUCUGUAAGUUAUAAAGGAAAAGUAAGUUCAGUUAAUUUUACAUCUUUGUAGAACUACAUUGCUUGAGUAAGUAGGAAGUUAGUGGUACUCUGUGUGUAGAGGUGAUAUUCAGAGAUACACAGAGGACCACCAAAGGCGAAGGCAACUAACUACUACUUUUCUGACGUUGAGGCACUGAAGCGUGGGGAGCAAAUCGG
rnacentral:rRNA from 1 species